UACGUAGGGGGCAAGCGUUGUCCGGAUUUAUUGGGCGUAAAGAGCGUGUAGGCGGCCAGACAGGUCAGCUGUGAAAACUCGAGGCUCAACCUCGAGACGUCGGUUGAAACCGUCUGGCUAGAGUCCGGAAGAGGAGAGUGGAAUUCCCGGUGAUAGCGGUGAAAUGCGCAGAUAUCGGGAAGAACACCCGUGGCGAAGGCGGCUCUCUGGGACGGUACUGACGCUGAGACGCGAAAAGCGUGGGGAGCGAACGAG
rnacentral:rRNA from 1 species